UGACCCCAGGUCAGGCGGGACUACCCGCUGAGUUUAA
rnacentral:rRNA from 3 species